rnacentral:rRNA from 1 species
UACGAAGGGUGCAAGCGUUGUUCGGAAUCAUUGGGCGUAAAGCGCGCGCAGGCGGAUUAGAAAGUCAGAUGUGAAAUCUCGAAGCUCAACUUCGAAACUGCGUCUGAAACUCCUAGUCUAGAAUGUCGGAGGGGGCAGGGGAAUUUCACGUGUAGGGGUAAAAUCCGUAGAGAUGUGAAGGAACACCGGAGGCGAAGGCGCCUGCCUGGACCAGUCCUGACGCUGAGGCGCGAAAGCUAGGGGAGCAAACAGG